GGCUCCGUAGUUCAAUGGAUAGAACGAUCGCCUCCUAAGCGAUAGAUACAGGUUCGACUCCUGUCGGGGCUACCA
rnacentral:tRNA from 3 species